CUGCCUGCCCAGUGACACACGUUUAACGGCCGCGGUACCCUGACCGUGCAAAGGUAGCAUAAUCACUUGUUCUUUAAAUAGGGACUCGUAUGAAUGGCACCACGAGGGUUUAACUGUCUCUUACUUUCAACCAGUGAAAUUGACCUGUCCGUGAAGAGACGGACAUGAAACAAUAAGACGAGAAGACCCUGUGGAGCUUUAAUUUAUUAGUACAACUAAAAACCACACAAACCAACAGGUCCUAAACCCCUACAUCUGUACUAAAAAUUUUGGUUGGGGCGACCUCGGAGCACAACCAAACCUCCGAGUAAUCCACGCUAAGACUACACAAGUCAAAGCAAACUGACACUUACAAUUGACCCAAUAAUUUGAUCAACGGAACAAGUUACCCCAGGGAUAACAGCGCAAUUCUAUUCUAGAGUCCAUAUCAACAAUAGAGUUUACGACCUCGAUGUUGGAUCAGGACAUCCUAAUGGUGCAGCAGCUAUCAAG
rnacentral:rRNA from 1 species